CAUGCUUUCUACAUCCCUGGCAGACCAGGACAUAUUCAAUGCAUUCAUAAAACAGAACCCAGUUCUGGUGCAUCAGCUUCCGUGCUUCUGGAACGUACAGUUAUCGGAUCAUACUCGCUCUGAACAGUGCUACACUGAGGUGUCAGAUCUAAAGGUCAUUCACUGGAACUCUCCUAAAAAGCUGAGGGUAAAGAACAAGCACGUGGAAUUUUUCCGUAAUCUUUACUUGACGUUCCUGGAGUACGAUGGGAAUCUUCUGAGACGGGAACUCUUCGGCUGUCCCAGUCAGGCCAGCUCUG